CUGAAGUUAAUCAACCACCAAAAUCACAUUGUUCUACUAUCAACAAGAUGGUUGUCUACAAUAUGAACUUCUUCUCAUGUUCUGUUAUUUUGGAUUAGGUUUUUCAAAGAAUGUUGGUGUGCUGUAUUACACCUAAAACUGUUCAACCUCAUUCGUUUGAAAGUAAUUGCAAUCAUCAGCGCAAGUAUAUCACACCAAUGACCUCACAACUAUUUGAUGUCCAAGUCGUCAUAUUUUGAUAAGCCAUAUCAAUUAUUUUGUAAUAAAGUUUCCGACGAAUGACCCUAUCUUGCUUUUCUCUAAUGCUUGUCAUUUGCUACAACAGUCACGCGAGUGCAACUAAAGACUACACAGAUCGUAUGCAGCCUUUAUAUUCGUCUGAACCAUCACGUGAGCAUUAAUCCAUCAGGCAAUCUAGAAAUCGCAUUACGUUCUAUGCUGGGGCAUAUACGAUGCACAUGGCGACAUGCCUAAUCUUAUAAUAAAAAAGAACGCAUUACGUUCCAUGCUGGGACAUAUACGAUUCACAUGCAGACUUGCCUAAUCUUAUAAUGGAAAGAAAACGCAUUACGUUCUAUGCUGGGACAUAUACGAUUGACAUGCAGAAUGUUAUAGAACAAUCUUGUGGAGCAGGUUGCUACUUCGUGAAAACGUCAGCGGAACAAUGUUUGUAUUAAUUUUUUAUGUAUUAAUGCAUUAUUCGAAACAAUA